UACCACUAAAAAUGAUUCGCGGCAACACUGCUUAUAAGUUCGGUGUAUGCUUAAUUUUUUCCUUCAGCUGAAGUACUGAGUCAGCAGACACUCAGGCAGUCUUAGUCAAACAAUGGAUUUGGAAAGACUUAUUAGAGAAAUUUAUAACAAUCCACCUUUGUGGGAUAAACAAGAUAGAAAUUUCACGAAUAGAGUCGUAAAGGAGGCAAUCUGGGACACAAUUGUGAUUGAUAUGCAUUCAACAAGUAAGUAAAUAUAUGGUUAUAAAUGUAAGAGAACGAGGUUGACUGUUCACAAGUGCAUACAUGCACACGCAGGUACAAGCAGGCUCAUACGUGACUGAACAAGUUUCUAUUGUAAUAGAAUUUUGCAAAAAGUGCUUUAGACGAUUUGAAAACUAAAAGUUAGAGGAAAAAUGCAGAAGGAAAUGGAAAUAUUUAAAAGAUGAAUUCAGAAAGGUUUCGCGUAAAAUGCCACAAUUGGCGUCAAGUGCUGCUGCGCCCUAUACAUAUUUUUCAAAGCAAAAAUAUUUUGAGAUGAUUUCGUUUUUAAGGGAUGGUGUUGCCUCGUUUGGGGAGGUAAGCAAUCAAAGCAUCGUUGAUAAUAUCGCCCUCAAGGACGAAAGCAGUAUGAGUAAAGAAGAAGAUUGUGACGACCUACACUUUUUCAAAAGCCUUUUGCCAUAUGUGAAAGAGGUGGCGGCGAGUAAUAAAUUGAAAAUGAGAGGAGAUAUACAAAAUAUUGUACUACAGUAUUAUGAACCCGAACAAGCUACGAAAAAAUGAUACAUAAUUACUCAGUUUAUUCUUGUACAUAGAUUAUUUUAACUUAAUUUACAUAAUGAAAUAUAAUAGUACAUAAUAAAAAUAUGUGAACUCACGUACAUUUGAAUAAAUAUUUAGAAAGACUGCUAAAAAAUGCAGUUCAUAA